rnacentral:rRNA from 1 species
GUAGGUGGCAAGCGUUGUCCGGAAUUAUUGGGCGUAAAGCGCGCGCAGGGCGGUCCUUUAAGUCUGAUGUGAAAGCCCACGGCUCAACCGUGGAGGGUCAUUGGAAACUGGGGGACUUGAGUACAGAAGAGGAAAGCGGAAUUCCAAGUGUAGCGGUGAAAUGCGUAGAGAUUUGGAGGAACACCAGUGGCGAAGGCGGCUUUCUGGUCUGUAACUGACGCUGAGGCGCGAAAGCGUGGGGAGCAAACAGGAUUAGAUACCCUGGUAGUCCACUCCGUAAACGAUGAGUGCUAAGUGUUAGGGGGUUUCCGCCCCUUAGUGCUGCAGCUAACGCAUUAAGCACUCCGCCUGGGGAGUACGGCCGCAAGGCUG